GAACCUAUUCUUAAAAAAUCCAAUGAUAUGGAUUUUGCAGUCUUUCCAGGCAAUCUGUUCCGAUGCUUUGCUCUCAUCAAGUUAGAAAGUUUUUCUAAUGCCCAGUCUAAAGUUUCCACAUUCCAUUAUUUCUUGUUCUAAUCCCUGUGGACAUGGAGAACAAUUGAUUCCGAUUCCUCAGCAGGGUACUGUUCAAGUCUGUUAUGACAUUUCCUCUGAAGUGUUUCACUCUCCAAACUGAACAACUCUGGUUUUGUUCAAUCUUUACCUGCACAUCAUUUUUUCCCAGUCCCCUAAUCCACCUUGUUUCUUUCUCUGGACUUCUUCUAGGAGUUCACAUUUCUUUUAAAGCAGGGUCCCUAGAGGUGCAUACAGAACAUUAGCUGCUUACUGAUUCUGGAGUAAGUACAAAUCUCACACAUGAUACUGCCCAGAUAACCUCUGCAAUAGUUUUUGCAGGGAGGUGAGACUGUUUAUUUCUGUUCAGCUUGUGAUCCCCCACAGGCCACAAACUGUUUCCUACAGACUCAUUUUCCACCUUAUAUUUGUACAGUUGAUUACUCUGCCUAACUGUAGCACUUUCACUUGUCCUUACAGAAUUGCAUCCUAUUGAUUUCAAACCACUUCUUCAAAUCACCAACUUCAUUUUUAAUGGUGAAAAAUGAGGUCUGCUACCUCAGAGCCUCUCUGUGUUCAGUAUGGUAACACAGGAAAGGAUCACAGAUUUUCCUCUGCUUGUAUUCUUAUGGAGUGGCAAGGCACAAUGGCCACAACUGUGCUGACAUGAGUCUAUGCUUUGGGAUAAGAAGUAAAAAUCCUUUGUUACAGUAGAACCUAAAGGGCAGGCCCUGCACAAAAGAAAUGUGUCCUGUAGACUGGAAGAGGAUGAUGACACAACUUUAUUUUUUACCUGCUCCAAGGACACGGCCUCCAGGAGCACUGGCUGUGGUGCUCUUCCAUGCUGAGUUCAAAGCAUACGCCUUCUGUGCACCUUGAAAACUCUCCACUUCAGAAAAUUGCAGUCUAUUUUCAGUUGCUGCCUGGUUCACUAUGAAUUAAAAUGGGGUGUUCAGAAAGGUGAAAUCAGAACCAUUUAUAAUGCAUGUUCUUUCCUUGUUUUUUCAUUUCUUCUUUCUCCCCUCUCUCUUCCCUGACAUAAUUGGAGCACAUUAGCUUCACUGUCUCAGUUCAUUAGGUCAUUUCUGAAAAUCGAAAAUCACAGUUUUGUGUUUAUUGGUGUCUUUUAUUUGUAGGAAAUCAUUUGCAGUGAAACUACUUCUAAAUUUCCUACUGUGUAGAAGACUCCAGAGCUGUUUGCUUAUACCUCAUCAGCAGAACUGCUGGAAAUAAUGCUCUGAGUUGGGGAAUGAUGUUGUCCAAGGACUCUAGCUUUGAUAAUUAAAAAUGCCAGUCCCUCAUGAUGCUGAAAGCCCUCAGUUCUUGUGGACUGCUGAGGGUCCUCAGUGCUUUGCAACCUCACAACCUAAUUCUGAAGUGAUGGAGUAAGCUUUUCAGGACAUGCAUAGGGCAAGUUUAUCUCUGCUGCAGUAUCAAAAGCCAGUGCAAGAACAGAUCAAUGGCAUCUAUGGGAUAUCCAAGGGUAGUUUCUUUUAACUAUAUUUAACUGAUGAUGUCUCUUUAGCCUAUGAUAUUUAUAACAGCUAAGGUCUGGUCUUUUUCUAUUUACAACUGACAGAAAUUGAAAAGAUUCAAAAUCUGAAAAUUUAAAAAGAUGACCUGUAAGGAAAACAACUUUCAGUUUAAAUAAGAGAUUUUUUUAUUGAAUCUUUACAUGGCCUUUACAAAGGAAGGAAAAAUUCGGGAUUAUCUCUACAGGAGAGAAACAGUCCAGUGGUUUAUAUUUUAGAAGAUUACUGAUAUGUGAGAAAUCUCUUCCUUUUGCCUUUCACAGUCUUUUUGUCUCAGCGUCACUUUACCCUUUUCUUUCUUUUUCAUUUCCCUUCAUCCUUUUUCCUGUCAAUAAUAUCCCUUCCCUCAUUUUUCCAAAUUUCAAUUUAAAAUGUCAGCCUAACCUAUGGCAAUAGUAAGCCAAUUAUUUCUAUCUUCAAUGGUGCCCUUGAGUCUGGAAGAACUUUCCUUACCCAUUUUUCCUGCUUGUUUAAAGAUAUUCCCUAACAGUCACUGUAAAUACAUGUGAGAGGAGGCAAGAUGCUAUCUGGCAAGCCUUUAGCUAGGGCUUGCAACUGGAAAAAUUACUCUGAAGUUUCAAUGUGCGGAACACUUUUGCAGAAUAUUUGCUUUACAUUCUAAAGUCAGCUCUUGGCUUACUUCUAAGACUGACUAUGGCCUGAGUGGAAACUGUGUUUGAUUGUGGAAUAUGACUUUGAAAGUAAACACUUUCAUUAGGACUUCUGUAACAGCCUUGGAAAUCUUUUAAUCCAAAGUUUUGUUCCUGGAACGAUUAGCUGCCUGUGCUCUAGCCUGAGGGAAACUGCCACAAGGGAAAAUAAUAUGAAAAAUGGAUGUAAAUGGAGAACUGUGCCACUACCACUUAAAAUUCAGUUCCUUGUGUGUGAUGUUUUCAGAGAAUGAAAAAUCAUUUCUAUAUGCAAAAAAAAAAAAAAAAAAAAAA